ACGCAAUAGAUACCCCGGUAGUCCAUGCCGUAAACGUUGGGCACUAGGUGUGGGGGACAUUCCACGUUUUCCGCGCCGUAGCUAAACGCAUUAAGUGCCCCGCCUGGGGAGUACGGCCGCAAGGCUAAAACUCAAAGGAAUUGACGGGGGCCCGCACAAGCGGCGGAGCAUGCGGAUUAAUUCGAUGCAACGCGAAGAACCUUACCAAGGCUUGACAUGAACCGGACCGCUGCAGAAAUGUGGUUUCCCCUUUGGGGCUGGUUUACAGGUGGUGCAUGGUUGUCGUCAGCUCGUGUCGUGAGAUGUUGGGUUAAGUCCCGCAACGAGCGCAACCCUCGUUUCUAUGUUGCCAGCACGUGAUGGUGGGGACUCAUAGGAGACUGCCGGGGUCAACUCGGAGGAAGGUGGGGACGACGUCAAAUCAUCAUGCCCCUUAUGUCUUGGGCUUCACGCAUGCUACAAUGGCCGGUACAAAGGGUUGCGAUACUGUGAGGUGGAGCUAAUCCCAAAAAGCCGGUCUCAGUUCGGAUUGGGGUCUGCAACUCGACCCC
rnacentral:rRNA from 1 species